rnacentral:rRNA from 1 species
AUACGGAGGGUGCAAGCGUUGUUCGGAAUUACUGGGCGUAAAGCGCGCGUAGGUGGUCUGUUAUGUCAGAUGUGAAGGUCCACGGCUCAACCGUGGAAGUGCAUUUGAAACUGGCAGACUUGAGUACUGGAGGGGGUAGUGGAAUUCCCGGUGUAGAGGUGAAAUUCGUAGAUAUCGGGAGGAAUACCGGUGGCGAAGGCGACUACCUGGCCAGAUACUGACACUGAGGUGCGAAAGCGUGGGGAGCGAACAGGAUUAGAAACCCCGGUAGUCC